rnacentral:lncRNA from 1 species
GUGCCGCCUGUGCUGGCCGGAGCCAGCGUGGCGAUCAGAUGUCUGGGUGUGCCUGGCACGACCCCACCUCACUGCUCCCCUGAGCUGUCUUUCCCCUGCAGAGGGGCCAAGGAGCACCCCUGGGAGGCCGUGAGUGUCAGCAAGAAAGGCACGGCAGGGCGGGGACAGGGCAGGGUGAGCAGGACUCCAGCGCGUGGUGGCCGCGAGUCCCAGCUCUCAGAGGAACAGGCCUUGAAGAUGCAGGGAGGUUUGCACCGACAAAAGCCUCGGCAUCUCUCUUUAUUUUUACCUUACAUGCACCGCCACCGCGGCUUCCUGCUGUAGCCUCUCCCCACCCGAGAGGCAUUCCCAGCCCCCAGGACCACAGAGAGGGGCAGGGGUCUUCAGUGUGGCUAAGGGCCACCGCCUGCAGCACCUGGGAUGGAGCUGCCAACUACCCCCAUCCUCAGAGCUGAAGUCUCCUAGCGUUUGGGCCUUGACUUUCUUAAUGCGAGAUACAGCUCAAAGCUUGCGGUGACAUUUCUGUCUUCGGGUGCUAAAACUGCAUUUCCUUCUUGAGUUCCAUGUUUCAGGGAGAGAAUCAUGAAGAAACAGAAUAAAGGACUUUGUUGCAAGCUGCAGUCAUAAAGAAGGACAUGUGGGUGAGGCUGGGAGCCCGGGGAGCCUGGUGUCAGCUCCAAUCCGAGCAUCGGGGCCAGCAGGAAGACCCGGCCUCUGUUUCCUCUGUCAGCCCGGAGGAGGGCAAUCACGACGCAAUUUCUUACAAUAAUGAUACCUCACAUUGCAUAAUCGUUCACGUCCUUCAAAAUAUUGAAAAUCGUAGCACAGAAAGUUUGAAGGGUUCCACAGCAACUCAGCACCACGAAGUCAGCCACGGCCCCACACGUCGACGGCUCAGUUGGGUGACGUGGCCGGCCCCGGGGACUCCUCUUUCUGCUGACGUUCAUCCACAUCCACAUCCAGAGCUUCUCGGUGUCCAGGAGAUGCUGACAGCUCCUGGCCCCAGGAUGGGUGUGAGGCUGUGGCCCCGGGCCGGUCCCCGAUACUGAGCAUCUUAGAGGCAGCCACUCUUCGCAGACCUGGUUGCCCAUCUUCCACCAUUUGCAUCUCCUCCUGUGCACAGAGGAAGAAACCAAGGCUUCCAGCCCCGGAGCUGGCAAACGCAGAGACCCCAGGCUCCCUGUGUGCCUGGACCGCUGGCCUUUCCCUCUGCUGCCUGGGGCGUCCUGAAGUACCGGGCUCGGGGGUGGAACCCGCACGUGGAACCAGGACAAGCAGGCCACACGGAGGGACGCUGACCACGUCCCUGAAGCUGCAGUG